rnacentral:rRNA from 1 species
ACGGACGCUGGCGGCGUGCUUAACCCCUGCCAGUCGAACGGAAAGGCCCUGCUUUUGUGGGGUGCUCGAGUGGCGAACGGGUGAGUAACACGUGAGUAACCUGCCCUUGACUUUGGGAUAACUUCAGGAAACUGGGGCUAAUACCGGAUAGGAGCUCCUGCUGCAUGGUGGGGGUUGGAAAGUUUCGGCGGUUGGGGAUGGACUCGCGGCUUAUCAGCUUGUUGGUGGGGUAGUGGCUUACCAAGGCUUUGACGGGUAGCCGGCCUGAGAGGGUGACCGGCCACAUUGGGACUGAGAUACGGCCCAGACUCCUACGGGAGGCAGCAGUGGGGAAUAUUGCACAAUGGGCGGAAGCCUGAUGCAGCAACGCCGCGUGCGGGAUGACGGCCUUCGGGUUGUAAACCGCUUUCGCCUGUGACGAAGCGUGAGUGACGGUAAUGGGUAAAGAAGCACCGGCUAACUACGUG